rnacentral:rRNA from 1 species
AACGAACGCUGGCGGCAUGCCUAACACGUGCAAGUCGAACGAGAUCCUUCGGGGUCUAGUGGCGCACGGGUGCGUAACGCGUGGGAAUCUGCCCUUAGGUUCGGAAUAACAGUUAGAAAUGACUGCUAAUACCGGAUGAUGACGUUAAGUCCAAAGAUUUAUCGCCUGAGGAUGAGCCCGCGUAGGAUUAGCUAGUUGGUGUGGUAAAGGCGCACCAAGGCGACGAUCCUUAGCUGGUCUGAGAGGAUGAUCAGCCACACUGGGACUGAGACACGGCCCAGACUCCUACGGGAGGCAGCAGUGGGGAAUAUUGGACAAUGGGCGCAAGCCUGAUCCAGCAAUGCCGCGUGAGUGAUGAAGGCCUUAGGGUUGUAAAGCUCUUUUACCCGGGAUGAUAAUGACAGUACCGGGAGAAUAAGCCCCGGCUAACUCCGUG